UGGGCAGAAAUACACCCGGAAAAGGACAUAACUAAACCAGUUUUAUCAGAGCAGGCUGCCUGAGAGAGAUCAAGCAGGGCACAGGCCACCAGGUUUGCCCCUGGGCUCCUGCCACAGCUGAUCAGGUGCUAGGUGCUAAGGAUAUGCAUAGGGGAGAAAGCAAUUGGAUGGAUGUGAAGCUCUUCAAAGGAGACCUACAAAGUCAUCUUUGUUUUGUUCUUUCUUCUCAUGUUUCUGCAUUCUGGGCAUUCUCCUAAACUGGGGAGAAACCAAAAUGCCCAGAAGUUCAAUUCUGCAACUGUCAUCAUCCAAAAUGCCAAAUGAGGGAAGCAAAGUGUGCUGGAUUCUAUAUGGUUCAGAAGGGGUGGUUAAUUUGAUUGACUCUCGGGAGCUCUUUUUCUAGUGCUAAGUAAUGCUAGGGAGCCCAUAUGUGAUCAUCUCUGAAUAAAUAAAGAAGUGAAAUUGCAAUUGAAA